rnacentral:rRNA from 1 species
AUUGAACGCUGGCGGCAGGCCUAACACAUGCAAGUCGAGCGGAUGAAGGGAGCUUGCUCCUGGAUUCAGCGGCGGACGGGUGAGUAAUGCCUAGGAAUCUGCCUGGUAGUGGGGGAUAACGUCCGGAAACGGGCGCUAAUACCGCAUACGUCCUGAGGGAGAAAGUGGGGGAUCUUCGGACCUCACGCUAUCAGAUGAGCCUAGGUCGGAUUAGCUAGUUGGUGGGGUAAAGGCCUACCCAGGCGACGAUCCGUAACUGGUCUGAGAGGAUGAUCAGUCACACUGGAACUGAGACAAGGUCCAGACUCCUACGGGAGGCAGCAGUGGGGAAUAUUAGACAAUGGGAGAAAGCCUGAUCCAGCCAUGCCGAGUGUGUGACGAAGGUCUUCGGAUUGUAAAGCUCUUCAAGUUGGGAGGAAGGGCAGUAAGUUAAUACCUUGCUGUUUUGACGUUACCAACAGAAUAAGCACCGGCUAACUUCGUG